CCCCACCCGUGAUGGUGGAUUGACUCCCAAGGCGGCGGCGGAGUGUUCCACGGCGGCGGCACGCGGAGCCAACCUCGCAAUGUGCUUGGGCAGUUUGCCUCUGCGCUCGAGGUCAUCUCGAUCCAUAGUGACAACAGCGAUGACCUCUCAUCGGAGGUUCCCGCUACCCCACCUAGGCGCGUCAAAGUGGAGUCAUUGAGCCGAACCCCGGACAAUAAGGGCAAGAUGCAAGUAAGAAGAGCAUUUCCGCUUUUCACCUAGGGUAUACAUGAACUCUUUAGGGUUUACACGAGUAUAUUUGUUUCUUUUUAGAUUUCUAAUUUUUAUGCCUUAAUUACCAAACAACAAGUUGAACUAUCUCAGAUUAAAAUACAGUGUACCUAUGUUUACUAAUGUGCAGUCCAGUAGCUUAGAAUAUUCAUAAAUGGAAAAUUAAUAUAGAUGUGAUGCCAGGGUAGCUGUCCUAUUGUUCAAUUGCAACCUUGUAAUUUUUAUUUUAAAUGAAAAUUUGGUGUUGCACUUAACUUAUUGAGUUUUGAAUAAUGACUUGUCAAAUUAGCAUUAUUUCCUAAUGAUCUGUAACUACCAACUUGCAUGCAAACCCAAUCGUGGUAUAGAAGAUCAAAGGGCAGUCAUCCACCCCAUCCCCGGC
rnacentral:lncRNA from 1 species